rnacentral:rRNA from 1 species
UAGAGCUCACUCGUGGUCUGCCAUUGUUGUUUGGGUGGUAGUCCAGGUGAGGUGAGGUAGGUCUGGGUCGCCGUCGUCGCAGAUCUGCGCUGUGGACAAGAGGGGCCGCGUGGGUUAGCGUAAGGGGGUGGAGCGAAGGAACAUGGAGCACGGAACGAGGAGUGUUCAGGGUGAGUGGGCGUAGGCGACGAGGACGGGGCUUGUGUGUUGCGGCAGCAGGCGGUGAGCGUUGGAGGGUGCGGGGGCGCGGGUGGGCCAUGUGCAUGAGGGGUUGGGUCGUGGUUGGGAGGAGCAGUGGUGAGAGAGAAAUGAAAGGGAGCGCGCGCGAGAGAGAGGGAGAAAGAGGUAACGACCGGGGAACUAAGCGCGCGUCCUCCGGUGCCGAGCGCGAGAGGGAACGACUAUGCCGCCAACCGACGAGUCCGCGCACCACGCCGCUGGCAACCAAAUCAAAACCCCGACAAUGACGGCACUCCAACACUACCGCCGUUGCCACAAGCGGCCCCUCCCCCGGCGGCGCGCGCCGCCCACGAGCCGCCUUACGCGGCCGCCCUAGCUCUCCGGAGGCCUAGAGCCCUCGUCCCGCGCGCGGCGCCCCCUGCCCACGCGAUUCUCCUCGCACAUGGAGUACCUCACGCACGGCGACACCCCGACGCGGCGCCGCGCGCCGGCGCGGCGCCUCUACCUCCUGCGCACGCGGCGGCACGGCGCGAAGCGGCGGGACGGCCGCGCCUACGAGCGCUCGUCGGCGCUCGACCUGCCCUAGCCCCCGCUGAAGCUGCGGAGGCUCGAGGCCGAAGGCCGCGUGGACAAGCCGCACAUGCUACCUGUGCCGCCGAGCCUCCAGCGUUUGAUGACGGCCCUAUUCUAGGUGCAGCACGAUUCUCUCCACGACUCUCGACCGUCCCCCAACCCCCUUAACCCCCUCCACCUGCACUUCCUUGGUACCCUCUUCCAAAAGCCACUAACAAAGGUCUUCCAUCUGCUGCUCCACAGCCCCUUUCGCUCGUCCGAAAGGUUACCGGCAGGCCUCGGAUAACGGCGACUAUUGCACCCAAGGUGGCGGCAACAACGCUAACAGACGAGAAGAGUACAGUAUUGACGCUUAACGCCUCUAAGUGCGCACCAGGAGACGGCACCCUUCCUCGGCUAACGAGACAGGCAGCUAGUGUUUGGACUAUCCUUUCUACUCGCACGGUCCUAACUCCGGCGUCCACCUUUCCAGUAACUGACCUUACCAAUAGCACAGAGACCAUAAGAGCGUUACAGUGCCAGUUAGCCAUUCAAAAGACGAAAACGUGCGGGUUCGAAUAACAGACCUGUUUUAAUAACUACUACAGUUCGUUCGACAUUUCGGUACAAACCUUACGUUAAUUCCAGAAUUCUACAAAAACAAUGAAAAACUGGUGCUCAGGGUUGUACUGAUAUAAUAGUACUCGAGAUCUUCUUACGUGAAAUCAUUGAGAUCCUCCGUAGAGAGACAUUUUCGAUCCUUGAAUCCUGGUUUUUUUUCACAGUGUUGUUCAUUCGAACAUGUUCCUGUACAACAUUUGACAAGUCGUAUAUGCUGUACUUAAAUAAGUCAAGUCGGUUUGUAGGUAUCGUCCUCUAUCAACAUCCAGAUACCGGUAUAGCCGUAUAAAGACGUAUACAAACCCUACAGUCAUUCACUACUAUGUACUUGGUAAUCCUCGGAUAUAGUUUGGUAGUUAGGAGCACAACAGUUUUUCUUCUUUUCGGUCAAUGGUUGAAUGGUAAUAGAAUUAUAAAACGUUAUGGGGAUUCAGAAACCAUGACCUGGCAACACAGUUUGUAAUUUGACUUAAACACGGUGUUAAAGGUAGUAGAAAGAAUCAACCUAUAAAAAAGAAAUGGUUGAUACAACAGUACGUAUACGUAAAAUAAUACUCCAGUCUACAAAGAAAGUCUACGACAAGGUUAAAUGCUCUAGUGUACGACAGUAUAAUAAUGUAAUCGAGUAAAGUCCGUCAUUUAAUAUUCUGAUUCCAUUACGAGACAAAGUAUUGGUAGCUGAACGUUGACGACGGUUGUCGUACAAAAGUAGCCUGUUUUCAGUACAAAAUUCAAAUCAGACACAAGGAGCUAAUACAAGAUCAAGGAAAGGACCUUUUUAAACCCCUACCCCUGUUUCAACAGUCACUUGAAUUUAUACUAGAACAGUUUCAUAAACCUAAUCCUACGACUACAUGAAUUCCUCCGUUUUCAUUUUUCAGGGGGAAUAACUUCCUUGUUUCCAUGGGACAUAUGAAUACGAUAAUAAGUACGUUGACCGAGACCAUCAACACUUACACAGCGGUACCCAUUAUCAUUAUGACCUAUAAUCAACGUGAACAAUAUCGACCAUGACAGACUUUAUGAGACUUAUGAAAAUAAAAUUUUUGAACCUGUUUUGAGACAAGAAAGACAAUAUAUACUUUAAAUUAACUGUAUUCGUCAAUUUGGUCGUUAAUGAGGCACGUACCCAUCGCAGUCAGUCUUCGAAGAAUACCGAAUAAUUGAAUGUCGCCUUUACCGGUUAGGAUAGAUGAACGUCCACUGGCUAUGAACUUUGGUAAAGACUAAGGUUUCGGUCUUCAGUCGUAACAACGAGCCCGUUUUCUACUGCUGACGGAGUAAGAUCGUUCGCUACCAGAGACCCUACAGUACAGUUUACUCCUGCGUACGUUUCAACGGGCCGCUGUCUAGGAAGACACCAUGUUCUUAUUAUUGCUGCCACGCUUAAGACUACCUCCGUCGCUUGGAUGAUACUUGGGACGACGUUUUCGUCGGCGACUAACAGAGCACUCCGAUCGCGACAGCUUUCCCUCGCCCCUGUUGUAAUCACAGUAACAAUAACUGGACUUUAGUUCUUUCUUCGGGUUCCCGUUUAGUAUUGUACAGGUAUUAGGUGGACUGAUCGACUGGCACAGACGCUGGCCUCAAAGCAGGCGAUCAGACGAAAGGAACGUUCUUGCCGUGCGGAUGAAAAACAAAGAAGUCAGCAGACGUUCUCGACAUACACAUAUACGAUUAUCCAGAUGAAGGCUAUUAGACUACAGACCCCACACACAACCGCACAAAGCCAUAUGGGGGAAUCGGAAAACCAAAGCCCGACAAGUGUAAACUAAGAGUAGUCCAAGUCUUGUCGGUACAUUUACAUCACCACAGACGUAUUAUUAACUCGGAACAUUUCCUGACUCGUCGACUAUACUAGCAGCCUUCAAUGUAUACAUCGUUUUCUACACGAACGUCCACAACGAGAAGAGUCUAGUAGCAUACAUCAUGAAAAGAAGGUCUAGUAGUCUACUUGUACUACCUACAACUACUUUUACAGGACUGGAAGACGUACCAAUGGG